GAGGGUAUAGCUCAGUGGUAGAGCGUGCUUAGCAUGCACAAAGUCUUGGGUUCAAUCCCCAGUACCUCCA
rnacentral:tRNA from 1 species